AGGGUGACCAGGGUGUUUCUGGUUCACCAGGUCUGGAUGGUAUUCCUGGACAGAAGGGGGAGGCAGGAUCAAACGGGUCUAAGGGGAUCGAUGGAGCAAUGGGUGAGAAGGGACCAGCUGGGGAGCCUGGUGCAGAGGGGAAACCUAGGAUAAAUGGUUUGAAAGGAGACUCAGGUCCUAUUGGCCCCAAAGGUGAUCAAGGCGAUACAGGUCUUCAAGGUCUGCCAGGUCUAAGUGU